CCGAGCCCCGCGCCGCGGUCCCCCGCCGUACCACCAGCAAGGAGAACAUGGUCUGCCCCACGUUGAAGCCGUGCCGCCAGUUGUGGGAAUGUGGAUUUCUCUGACAGCACACGGUAGUGCAGAAGUGGGAGCAAAGAGAGCGGACGUUGAGGCUGAGUCAGAGUUGCUUCGAAAAGGCCACCUGGAACUGAAAAUAUUAGGAAAGAUAAGGCCCAACCGUUGACCAAAGGAAGCUGAUAUUCUGCUGAGAGGAAUUAAUCUGAAAGCAAAGAAAGAAGAUACAGACCCAGCUCUUCCAUGAAUUGGAGAGAAAGCUCCGUGAGAACACGUCAACUAGACCAACACGAAAAGCUGUGUUUAAAAAUAAGUGUCCCUGGGUUGCUUUCUGACAGUAGCACGUGAUGCAGUGCUUGAAGACUCGGUCUUCCCAAAUGAAAUCAUGGAAUUGUGGGGGUGGAACAGUAGUUUGAAGCGGAACAAGAGCAGGU